CUGAGCUAAAUCUCCAACCCCGUAAUCUUAUAAUCUUAUGAGAGGUUUAUUGUAUUCCAGGUCUCAAACUUGCUGUACAGCAGACAUCACUGAAUGAACUCCUGACCUUUCUUUCUUUACUCUGACAGUAAUUCAGGUUGUUUGACAAAACACACACUUUCUCUUUGACAAAACACACACUUUCUCAUGCAGUAGCCAUCUCUCCCUCCUGCGUUCAAUACUCAAUACCAAAUCUCUGAAAAUGUUUGUAUUCAGCCCACAUCUACACAUCCUUCUUUGUCUCCCAACCUCCUCCACUUCUGGCUCGAAGUGGCUUCUAGCCCAGCACUGUCUCAUCAGGCUAAGCUCUGGAACUGAUUCGUAGGCUGGCUCAGAAAAUCUCCACUGGUGCAUUUAAGCUUCCUUCAAAUGCACUGCCUGUCAUGUACACCACUUAAAUCGCAUCUCAUGUGAGGAAAUCAUACAUAGUUUAUUUAAAAGCCCCUCGGCUCCCUUGAAGCAUCACCUAAGCAACGACAGCUAAGUUGUUAAGGGCCUCUGUUGUUCACUACAAAUCACAACAUCAAAUAUGGCAUCAGGCCCAUCAAGAAACACCCCCAAAGCAAUUUAUGCUGAUGAAUCCCAGCUAUUAGCAUAAUAGCACUGGUUUUUACAACCCUUGCUAAGAGGUAGCUCAGCCUAGGUGUGGGGAAAUUAGAACGAGGCUUCAUAGGGGUGUAAUGAUGGCAGAUAUGCAUAUAUAAACCAUGGUUAUCGUUUUCAACAUGCAGCCCCAUCAUCCUGUUCGAGAAUCUAGAAAAUGGGUAAAAUAGGCAUCCCAGGGAUUGGUACAAGUCCAGGAACUACAACUCCCCAUUAAUGACAAACAAAACAAUGACACUGAUGAAAGUAAGUCCUGGAACCCAAGGGAGUUGUAACAUUGUCUUGAAAGUGAAAUGAUUUUACCAAAAUAGCAACUCAGAAAGCAAGUUCCCAGGUGUGCAGUUUUAUAAGUGAGAGCUAUUUAGAAAGAAUAAAAAUCAGCAGAAUUUUAAUCUCUCCCCUUCUUCCCCCUACUCUUUAAUUGAAAGGUAAAGGUCAGAAACACACAGAUUCAGCUCGGUGUAUGAAAGGAGAGACUGACCGAAGCACAGCCAUACAGCAAAUUAGAAUCCUCCAUCAACUCCAAUUGCUCAAAGCCUACCUGGAAAUCAGACAUCUUUACAGAGUUGUGAGUCUAUGAGAAGAGAGUACAAACCUUUGUUUUACAGUCAGACAUCCCUCUGUCUCGAUGGGAAAAUGGAGUGUCAUAGAUGCCAUGUGACCAGUCACUUCACAUUUCUCCUAACAGCACUUUCAGGACAUUAAUAGACUGAAUCCAUCCUUAAACCAUGAGGCAGCUUCUCAAGUUGCUUUGCUAGGCGUCCCAUAACAGCAAUGAAAGCUAACCAACACUAAGAGUGAGCUCCUAAGGAAAAAUGUUAAAGACCCUUUGGAAACGGACAAAGAGGAUUCACAAAUCGUUUGUGAAACAUUUGGAUGACAAAUGCUUGGUCUGAACAAAGAGCUCAUCUAAGUGCACUAUCAAGGUGAACUAUCAGAGGCAGAGGGCAAGAGCAUAUGAUGAUAACAUCCACCCAAGGACCAGGCUUUGAAGCCUCUGGUUUCAUUUCGGCAUAGCCUUUCCUUUUCAUGCCAGUUCAGCUCCAACAUGAAAGAGGACACAGUCCCUGAAGCCAAUUUCGGUCGCCUCGUUCAGUGCUCACUACUUCAUGCUUCUGGAAAGUGUGUGAUCUUUUUCAUCAUCUCUAAGACCUCCUAGAUGUGUGACCUUUUCACUGCUAUGAUCUCUCCAUAUUCCGCUGCAGAAAAUUGCUCUUGACCUGUUAGAGCUACUGCUUCUUCAGUUUCUUCCCUCUCUUUUCCUUAGGAACCUCACAUACCCAGGCUCUAAGUCAGUGCCAAUGAUAAAAUAUUCAUUUAUGUAUAUGUGUACUAGAGUGGUAUGAGAAUUGUGAAUAGGACAAGUUACAAACAUGCAGCAUAAUAAAAGGAUAAGAUUCCCUCUA
rnacentral:sRNA from 1 species